CCUGUCAUUGACAGUGACAGAAGCCAAUCAUGUGACAGAAAGUGCUUUCAUUUACAUUACAUUUACAUUUAUUCACUUAGCAGACGCUUUUAUCCAAAGCGACUUACAAAUGAGAAAGAUACAAGCAAAGCGAUAUAUCAAGCAGAGAACAAUACAAGAAGUGCUACCAUACAAGAUCUAUUAAUUGAAUUCCAGAAGAAGCAAAGUGCAGAGUAGAGGUAUCCUUAGACACAGCAGCAUCUGUGACUCUUCGCCCAAUGAAUAAUUAUGGGAUGGUGUCAGUAUCCCUGGGAGAUGUCUCUCCAGAGUCAAAAACUCCCCACUGCAAAGAACCAAUUAAAGCAGAGGCCCAGGUGAGCCCACCUGGUUCUUCAUUAUCCUGCUGUUUUAUCUGCAGCUCAUUCUCGGGGUGCGUCAAGACUCUGCAUAACUUAAAAUGAUUUAACUUCUGCUUAGAGACUGAUCAGAAUGAGAUCAUGAGUUAUGCACAGUAUGUGUGUAUGAUGAAUGUGAUUACUAUCCAGCUUUCACAUUGUUAAUGAAAUAUACUGUACCUUAGACCCUAAUUUUAAAUAUGUGUUACAAUAGCUUUUGACAAUCCCUGGACUUUGAAAAAUUGCUCUGCAUUUCUAAUCCCCCCCCCCCCCCCAACCCCCCCCCCCGCCAAGUCUGCAUCUUUUCCCUCUUUAG
ensembl:lncRNA